GUUCGUUCUUAUGUUGUACUGUUAUACCACUGUCCCAGGUUAGGGGGAAGGUUGGGAUCCCGCUAACAUGUUUAACCCCGCCACAUUAUUUAUGUAUGUGCCUGUCCCAAGUCAGGAGCCUGUAAUUCAGUGGUUGUCGUUUGUUUAUGUGUUACAUAUUUGUUUUUUGUUCAUUUUUUUUUAUAUAUAAAUAAGGCCGUUAGUUUUCUC
rnacentral:lncRNA from 1 species